GACGAACGCUGGCGGCGUGCUUAACACAUGCAAGUCGAACGGCAAGGCGCUGCCUUUGUGGGGUGCUCGAGUGGCGAACGGGUGAGUAACACGUGAGUAACCUGCCCUUGGCUUUGGGAUAACUUCCGGAAACUGGGGUUAUUACCGGUUAGGAGCUCCUGCUGCAUGGUGGGGGUUGGAAAGUUUCGGCGGUUGGGGAUGGACUCGCGGGUUAUCAGCUUGUUGGUGGGGUAGUGGCUUACCAAGGAUUUGCCGGGUAGCCGGCCUGAGAGGGGGACCGGGCACAAGAGGACUGAGGGACGGCGCAGACUGCAACGGGAGGCAGCAGGGGGGAAUAUUACACAGUGAGCGGGAGCCUGAUACAGCGGCGUCGGGGGCGGGAAGACGGCCUGCGGGGUGUGAACCGCUUGCGCCUGAGACGAAGCGGGAAUGACGGUAAUGGAUAAAUAAGCACCGGCUAACUACGUG
rnacentral:rRNA from 1 species